rnacentral:rRNA from 1 species
AGGGCUUGACAUCCUCUGAAUUCUGACGAAAGUUGGAAGUGCCGGGAAACCGGAGCAGGGAGAC